AACGAACGCUGGCGGCAUGCCUAACACAUGCAAGUCGAACGAGACCUUCGGGUCUAGUGGCGCACGGGUGCGUAACGCGUGGGAACCUGCCCUUAGGUUCGGAAUAACUUCCCGAAAGGGGUGCUAAUACCGGAUAAUGUCUUCGGACCAAAGAUUUAUCGCCUUUGGAUGGGCCCGCGUUGGAUUAGCUAGUUGGUAGGGUAAAAGCCUACCAAGGCGACGAUCCAUAGCUGGUCUGAGAGGAUGAUCAGCCACACUGGGACUGAGACACGGCCCAGACUCCUACGGGAGGCAGCAGUGGGGAAUAUUGGACAAUGGGCGAAAGCCUGAUCCAGCAAUGCCGCGUGAGUGAUGAAGGCCUUAGGGUUGUAAAGCUCUUUUACCCGGGAUGAUAAUGACAGUACCGGGAGAAUAAGCGCCGGCUAACUCCGUG
rnacentral:rRNA from 1 species